UUGGAAGUGAACUUUGUAGCUAGCUUUCCCAUUUUUGAACUUGAAGUCAAGAACGAAAAGAGUAGCCUAUCUUUUUCUUCUGAAGUAGGAUACUACCGACGAGCUCGGGAUGAACUAGAUCUAGAUCCAUGAGAUCUAAAUAGACGCCAUUGGCAUUACUGAAACGUCUCGGUACUGUCUAGACUCUGGAGGAGGAGAGAACUUCGGAAUCUAUGGCAUUAUUAAUUCAUUCACCAAGUUAUUUAAGAAGAUACUGGAGAGAGACUUUGAUCAAAGAGUUUACCAAGUAGUUAGUACUGAGACAUGCAACAUCUACUCCUAAAAGGUACAAGGGAAGAAAACUGUAGUUUCCGAAGGAGAUAAUUCUCUCAUCAUGUUUCCAGCUUCAUCAUCAUUCUCUGUACAUGUAUAUUCUCAAGUUCAUCACUUUGUUUUACAGCAUGGAUUGAUACGUACAUGUAUAACAGAUGAUAUGCUGAAGAUGAUGGAAGUGAUGAGGAGGAGAUAGAGGAAGAGGAGGAGACUAAAGAAGGAAAGAAGGAAAUUGAAUCAUUACCAGAAGUAAGUACAACCCUUAAUGUACAUGUAUGCAUGUCCAUGCUUGUGUGUACCAUAAAUUUUGCUCAAGUAAACAUACAUCUUCUUUGCUACCACCACAUGUUUUUUCGAGGGAAUUAUAUUUUACGAAAUCUGCUGACAAUCCAAUUUGUGGAUUUUAAUUUUGCAAAUUCUAUCACAUGUGAUGCAGCUCAAGAAUUGUAAUCACACUGAUGAAGAUAGUUGUAGAUGAGUCAUAAUUGAAGCUGCUGCCUCUAAACUCUCUGCAGUUGCUUCCCCUUCUCUGAUAAGUUUAGUUGCUGCUCUUGGACAGACUAGCAAGAUAUUGUCAGCCAUUGCAGCUUUACUGAUAGGACCUGUUGAUGUAUAAUGGACACUAUUUAAAAGUACCAGACAUAUUAAGGUCAUUACAAGUAUCAGUAAAAGCUGUUCUUAUUGGUUCACCUUAUGAUACUGACUGGUUUGAUCAAGGGAUAAAAAAUAAGAGUCUUGUUGAAUGGUUACUACCAGGACUGGAACAUAAGCCAUCCUCUUCAUCUCUUGUUGGGUCUAUUGCUACUGAUUUUAAGUAUCCAUAUGUUCAUGGUAGCUUUGGGUUGAUGAAGAUUGGAUCUGGUUAUGGUAAUACUGUGAAGGUUGGAUGGUGAUGAGUAGGAGUGUCUCAGUGGGAGGAGUCUGUGCAUUGAUACAAAGUAUAAUGUACUGUAGAGUUUUGAUGAGAGCAGCUUUGAAAUAAUUAUGUUGUUAUGAUUCUGUUGCAGCUGAAGCUAAAGAUUUAGAGGGUACUAUUAAGUCCUUCAUUACAUGUACAUGUAUGUCUCCCUCAGUCUAAAGGUUCUAUCAUCAUGUGGUUCCAUGCUUCAAUGAAUCUCUUAUCAUCAUUACACACUCUCCACUAUUGUAGGAAGGUGAAGUCUGCCUCUGUUGACGACUAUCUCAUUGUCUCAAGAGUUAAUUGUAGUUCAUUGCUCCUUCUCUGCACAUGCUUACUCCGACAGUAGCAGGACAGUAGUGUGACAGUAGAAGACAGUAGCGUGACAGUAGAAUCGAGCAAAAACAUCCUAAACAAGCUUCUAGAAGGAGAGAAUGGUAUUAUAGAUGACCUUGGAGAGCACAGGCAGCCAAAGAAUUAUCCACAAGUUCUACUACAGUACAUGUGACUGGGUGGGAUCGCAGCAUAACGCAGCAAAGAGUAAUGAAGAGUAGCGAAGUAGUAGCGAAGAGUAGUGAAGUAGUAGCGAAGUAUCUAUGAACUACCUUCAAGGUUCUCUUCUCUACUGUACCCUACUUAACCUUUUUUUUGAUGUGUGCUGUACAUAAAUUUAUUUAUUUAUUAUUUAUUUGUU